ACCUGGGUGGCUCAGUUGGUUGAGCGUCCAACUUUGGCUUAGGUCAUGAUCUCACAAUUUGUGAGUUUGAGUCUCGCUUCAGGCU
rnacentral:tRNA from 1 species